rnacentral:rRNA from 1 species
AAUCUAUUCAGAGGAACCUGUUCUAUAAGUGAUAGUCCACGAUUUUAUACACUUAUUUUUCAUUUGCAUAUCGCCGUAGGUUGAAUAUUUUCGUAGAAUUAAUGAAUAUUCAAGAUUUUAGUAAAAAAGAAAUUCAGGUCAAGGUGUAGUUUAUAAAUGAGAAGAAAUGGGUUACAAUAAAUUUAUUUAUAUAGAUUGAUUUUUUUAAAAAAUCUUGAUAGUGGAUUUGACAGUAAUUUUAAAAAAUUAUUUAAUGUGAUUUUAGUUCUAGAAUAUGUACAUAUUGCCCGUCGCUUUCACUUUAAAGUGAAAUAAGUCGUAACAAAGUAGGUGUACCGGAAGGUGUACCUGGAAUAUU